rnacentral:rRNA from 1 species
AGAUUGAACGCUAGCGGGAUGCCUUACACAUGCAAGUCGAACGGCAGCACGGACUUCGGUCUGGUGGCGAGUGGCGAACGGGUGAGUAAUGUAUCGGAACGUGCCUAGUAGCGGGGGAUAACUACGCGAAAGCGUAGCUAAUACCGCAUACGCCCUACGGGGGAAAGCAGGGGAUCGCAAGACCUUGCACUAUUAGAGCGGCCGAUAUCGGAUUAGCUAGUUGGUGGGGUAACGGCUCACCAAGGCGACGAUCCGUAGCUGGUUUGAGAGGACGACCAGCCACACUGGGACUGAGACACGGCCCAGACUCCUACGGGAGGCAGCAGUGGGGAAUUUUGGACAAUGGGGGAAACCCUGAUCCAGCCAUCCCGCGUGUGCGAUGAAGGCCUUCGGGUUGUAAAGCACUUUUGGCAGGAAAGAAACGUCAUGGGUUAAUACCCCGUGAAACUGACGGUACCUGCAGAAUAAGCACCGGCUAACUACGUGCCAGCAGCCGCGGU